AUGUGUUAAAGGCUUCGGCCUUAUUCACCCCCCUUGUUUAACCUCUGGUUUCUUUGGCGAUGUCCAACGACCCGUCAAACUUUAACUCUGGUAAUGUGAUAACGUCUGAGUUUUAUUCAAUAAAUAA
rnacentral:misc_RNA from 1 species